rnacentral:rRNA from 1 species
UACGGGGGGAGCAAGCGUUGUUCGGAUUUACUGGGCGUAAAGGGCGCGUAGGCGGUCGUGACAAGUCACUUGUGAAAUCUCCGGGCUUAACUCGGAACGGUCAAGUGAUACUGUCGGACUAGAGUACAGAAGGGGCAACUGGAAUUCUCGGGUGUAGCGGUGAAAUGCGUAGAUAUCGAGAGGAACACCAAUGGCGAAGGCAGCUCGCUGGGACGGUACUGACGCUGAGACGCGAAAGCGUGGGGAGCAAACAGG